CUUGCUUUCAGAGCCCCAGACCUCUAGGUAAGAAGUCUGACCACAUGAGGCCACCAUGCUAUAAGGAAGCCGAAGCCGCAUGGAGAGAUUGUGACUGCUUUGUGCUACGAAGGCAAAGACUGAAAUGUUUGCAGUCUGGCCCUUUACUGAAUAAAUUUGCUGCUCUCUGGUCUAGAUGUGUGUCUCCCCCCGAAUGAGCCAGGGAGAAGACAUGGCGUGACCCAUGUACUUACCUAGUUUGAAUCAGCAGCUCACCUGGUCCUUCCUGUUUUUGAGGCCCUCCUGUCCCUGUUGACAUUCCAUUGGGUCCCCUUCUCUACAAGCCUGAGAGAAUUACAGGAGUCUAAGCAGUCUCCUGAGACCUGGUUUACUGCUGUAACCCUGAAGAUGGCAUACUGGCAAUCCUUGAAUCGCAUCGUGAGGGUCUCAGGAGUUCCCAGGCUCCAGGAAAGUGGGUGCAGAGGCAGGAAGAACAUUUGCCUCUCCAGGCUAUUAUUAUUGAUUGAUGUUUCACCUAGGGCAUCCUCAAAGGAAGUUUUUCCUUUUCAUCUCACUGGAGCUCAUAAGGACUUGGAUCGCCAAAUGAGGAUUCCAUCAUAUAUUCAAGAGCCAAGGGGGUGGUUCGUGAGGAUUCAUCCACAACCACGGCCCCGUGACCCCAGGGCUGAGACAAUGCUUGGCAGAACCAAGCAAAGCUACCUGACCCCACAGGAGCUUGCAAAAUUAACCUUGCAUUUCC
rnacentral:lncRNA from 1 species